UACGUGUAGCGAUGCCACUCGGAGCUUCGGCAGAGAAACUGGGGUAAGAAUUGGGGAAAUUGGGUAGGAGUUGGUGAAAUUGGGUUAAGAAUUGAGAUUGGGGUGAUAAUUGGUGAGAUUGGGGUAAGAGUUGGUGAAAUUGGGGUAGAAUUGGUGAGACUGGGGUUAGACUUGGUGAGACUACGGUAAAAGUUCGUGAAAUUGGGGUAAGAGUUGGUGAAAUUCAGGUAGGAAUUGGUGAAAUUGGGGUAAGAACUGAGACUGGGGUAAGACCUGGUGAAACUGGGGUAAGAGUUGGUGAAUUUGGGAUAAGAAUUGGUGAAGUUAGGGGAAGAGUUGGAUAAACUGAGGUAGGAAUUGAGACUGGGGUAAGAGUUGGUGGAAUUGGGGUAAGAAUUGGAAAAACUGGGGUAACCGGAGAAAUUGGAUUAAGAAUUUGUGAGACUGGGGAAAGAAUUGGUGAAAUUCAGGUAAGAAAUGGUGAAAUCAGGGUGAGAAUUGGUGAAAUUGGGUACGAGUUGCUGAAAUUGGGGUAGGAAUUGGUGAAACUGGGGUAAGAAUUGGAGAAAUUGGGAUAACUUGUGAAAUUGAGGGAAGAAUUGGUGAGACCGGAGAAAGAAUUGAGGAGGGUGGCAGGGAAAUUCAUGCUACUGGGGCCUGGCCUCCCCAAACUGCAGGCGUUUGGGGUGAGCAGGAACGAUUUUUAAGCUCAGAUGAUGGACUUUUGGGCAAAUGGGGGAGAAGGGCUGGUUUUAGGGGUUGGUGGCCUGGUUAUAAGCACUGAAAAGCAGCAAGAAAUGGU